rnacentral:rRNA from 1 species
AUUGAACGCUGGCGGCAGGCCUAACACAUGCAAGUCGAGCGGAUGAAGGGAGCUUGCUCCUGGAUUCAGCGGCGGACGGGUGAGUAAUGCCUAGGAAUCUGCCUGGUAGUGGGGGAUAACGUCCGGAAACGGGCGUUAAUACCGCAUACGUCCUGAGGGAGAAAGUGGGGGAUCUUCGGACCUCACGCUAUCAGAUGAGCCUAGGUCGGAUUAGCUAGUUGGUGGGGUAAAGGCCUACCAAGGCGACGAUCCGUAACUGGUCUGAGAGGAUGAUCAGUCACACUGGAACUGAGACACGGUCCAGACUCCCACGGGAGGCAGCAGUGGGGAAUAUUGGACAAUGGGCGAAAGCCUGAUCCAGCCAUGCCGCGUGUGUGAAGAAGGUCUUCGGAUUGUAAAGCACUUUAAGUUGGGAGGAAGGGCAGUAAGUUAAUACCUUGCUGUUUUGACGUUACCAACAGAAUAAGCACCGGCUAACUUCGUG